rfam:Gossypium raimondii Chr05_contig_1321, whole genome shotgun sequence.
UGUUAAAAACUUUAUCUAUUUCUACUUUUAAAAACUUGUGUAGCUAACAUAAUAAUAAGACAGUUACACGUGGUGUGUUACAUAUACCUGAUUCUAAUGCAUAUGAUCCAAUUUUUAAUAGUAGAAAUGGAUGGAGUUUUUAAUA